rnacentral:lncRNA from 1 species
AGUCUGGUCUUGUGGGGUUUAGGGGCUGGAAAUGGGGAAGAGCUAGAGCACAGCAUUUAGGAUUGAGUUUUAUACUAUUCGGUACUCCAAUUAUGAAAACAACGAUGAUGAUGCUUCUGACCUGCCCUGUUGGGCUGUUUCUUCCCCAUCCUUUUGGUGAGUAGCUGUGCUGUGUCAUUCUCAUGCUCCCCUGUCCUUCUGGUGAUGACGAGGCCCAUGUUGGAACCUACAGAAGUGAGAAGUGAAGACUGUGACCCUGGAGGGUGUUGCACUGGGAAAACUAGCUGGUAUAUUGGGAAUGUGAGCUAUGAGUUU